AUGGCCCCUUCACCGGGGCCCACAGACUCGGUGACCCCGAAAGUGAUGCCACCGCAUGUGAGCCACCGGCAUCGGGGCCGAGUGGAGAUGACGUCCCAGGCUGAUGGACGCCCCCUUGGUGCUGGAGCCCAAGUCUGGACCUGGCUUGCGGGGGACACAGGUGCGCACAGAAGCCCCACGUUAGGACCGGAGCCCCGGGAUGUCUGUGGUCCCCUCCCUCCCUCCCUCCCUCCUCUCUCCUGGGGUACCGGCCCCCAUGGCUGUGGUGGUGCUUGGAUUCCCCAGGACGUGGCCGGCAGCUGCCCACCAGGCCGUGAGUGCUGCGCAUCCCUCCCCAGGAUGGGGCCCCGGUCCUGGGAGCAGACCACGUCCAGGUCCCUCUGGGCGCCCUGGGUCGGGAUGGGACAGAGGAGCCCGCUCCCCACGAGAGUCAAGAAGCCAACAGUCAAGCCCGAGACAGGUCAGCCCGGGGCUGGAGGCAGGACUGUCCCUGGCCCAGGAGCAGUGACCCGUAGGGAGAGAGGCCUUCAAGGGUCCCACCUGUUGGGCGUCCCCUGUGAGCAGGGCGGGUGGGAACGCCCGGGCGUGCACCUGCAGGAGCCCUUCAGACCCAGACACCGCCCGCCUCCGGACGCUCCUGCUGGGGGCCCUACGCUGGGCCCUGUGCUCUGUGUGCAGGUGCAGCCCCAUCGACGCUGGACACGGCCAGGCCCGCCAGUGGGCCCUGAAGACCUGGGGCGAGGGGCGCACAGAGGGAGAGGGAGACCGAGGACGCAGACCAGGAGGUGGAGAGCCACCUGCGUGACCACCCUGCUGGGCGCCCCCAGCCUAGGACUGAGGGGGCCGAUGGAGGGGCCCCCCCGCAGGACUGGCUCUGGACGGGUCAGGGCCGCUCCUACCCCGCCUGUGCUGCACCCGGGGCCACACCCGCCGCGGCCUUUGCCCUGCGCCACCCACCCGGAUGAGUCACCCAACCUCGACCUGCAGACCCGCAGACCCGGCGGUGGCCCGAGGCUGGGCCGGGCGAUCCCCGAAGCCGGCCCGGCUGGCGCAGGCCAGGACGCCUCGCCUCUGCCGCAGGGGACCCUGUGCCGCUGGGCCACGGGCCGGGCUCUGCGCGCCAUCGCUGCAGGAAAUGGAAAUGUUCCUAAAACUUUUCACUUCACAGCUGCUUUUACUUUUUAAGUCCAUGCUUAAAAUAGCCUGGAGCGGGGCCUCUGGUUGGCCUCCGCCGAGGCUCAGGCGGUUGGCCCGCGGCGGCUGUCAGGAGGCGGCUCGGCCGACAGCGCUUCUCCUUUUCGUGUGACUCUGGGAGCAACGCUGCGUUUGCAGUCAGGUGACGGCCAGGCCCCUUCCCUAAGGUCGCUGCCCUCACGGCGCUGGGCACACUGGCGCACACGGGGAGGCCGCGGCGGGGACGUGCAGGCGUGUGCCCGAGCUCACGCUGGGGCUGAGGGACAGGCCAGGACCGCCAGCCUCCCAGACGCACAAGAGGGAGAGCGGCGGACCCCAGCCACCCGGAGUGCCCACUGCCAGCGUGGCCUCCUUGUCCACCGAACGCGGACGACGCUGCAUCUGGGCCUCGGGUGGAGCCCCGCAGAGGUCUGGGGUGCCCCCUGGCUGCCCCGCAUCUGGCCUGUAUGCAAGCAGGCCCGCGGGCUCUGCAGGUGCAGGCAGCGGGUGACCUGCCCCCCGGGGCCACCGUGAGCUCGAGCCCCUGACCGCACUGGUCGUGGUGGCCCUGGACGGCACCCAGGAGUCGUCCCAGGCUGCCUAGAAGUGGUGACACCCAGAGCCAGUUUAGAGUGGGUGCACUCAGGCCGACCACUCUCUGGCCAGCCCCGGGCGUGGGGGCACGAUGAGGGUCUGCACAGGCCUGACCGACGCCCUCAGAGCAGCAACCACACGGGGCCGGAGUCUCCCCAAGGUGGGUCACCAGGCCCUGGGGUCCUGGGCCCACCCUCCCUGGGUCCCUCCUGCCCUCAGGCCCAAGACCCAGAGGCAGGGGUCGGUGCCAAGACACUCCUCAGCCCCUCCCCAAGCCUGCUUCCUCCCCCUCCAGCCUCCGCACUCUGCUGCUCGGGGGCUGACCACAGCCAGGUCCUCCCAGGUCGUGCACUGAGCCCGGUGGUACAGCCCGUAUGGCUGGUGCUGCCCAGCCCUGGGCCUGUCCUCUGCUCUCCGCCGGCGCUGCCCCAGGGGCUGUGCUCCCAGGUCCUGGCAAAGCUGCCAGGCUGUAGGACCCUGAGGCUCCGCCGGGAGGGAGAGGGAGGCCAUGCUGACCUGCUGACCGGGAGGCAGCAAGGCCCUCCGGUGACAUGACACCUGCAGCUGCCAAGAGGGACUCCAAGAACCAGGACGUCAGAGUGUCACCGGGGAGCCCCCCAGAGAGGGCCGCGCCUGCAAACCCACUCGCCGUGAGGACGGGAUGGCCCCACCAGCUCAGAGGAGUAGGAUCCCCGCAGGAGGAGCCUGGCUUGGGAACGGGGUCCUGCCAGGGGGGCAGGGAAGUGCCUGAGCCUGAGCAGGGUUAGGGGCCCCCAGCAGCUGAAUCCUAUAGGACAGGCCGUCCUCACCCUCGCCCUGGUCCUCACCCUCGCCCUGGGGCAGUCCUGUGGCCGUUGCAGGGAAAUGAAUGCAGUGACAUUGGCUCUUUGAGGGGGGCACUGGACGGGAUGAGCCCUGGGUGUCACACUAUAUGUUGGCAAAUCGAACUUCAAUAAAAAAAAAAAAGAAUGAAUUAGUCA
rnacentral:lncRNA from 12 species